AAAUUAAAUUUUAUUAAAUGUUUAGCUUAUUCUCCAGCACAACUAUUAUUUUAAAACUUACGGCAUUCCUGUAACAUAUGCACUCCGAUUUUCUUAAUUAAGUGAGUGAUUUAAUUUUCCUCUUCGCUAUUAACUUUUUUUAAUUUCAUCACGACAUUUUAUCGAGAAUAAUUGAGCGCAAUUACACGCGCCGAUGGCCGGAUUUUAUUUUCAUCACGGGUCCGAAUUGAGCUUAAUUUGUAUUAAGCUUAAAAAAAAAAAAAAGGGCAGAAUUGUAUAACUGGAAAAGGGGGGAAACGGGUUUGUAUUUUUUUGAGAGAGAAUACCCGAGAGAGAGGGAGAGAGAGAGAGAGAGAGAGAGAGAGCUGGACUUGUUAACCCGAAAACCCGACCCGAUUCUGCGAUAUUGACCCGACGAGUUCUCCCGUUUCCGGCCACCUUACCGGCCGUGCUUGGUACCGAUCUGAAGCUUGGAAGCUGACCGUCGUAUCCCCGUGGUCCUCGUCGCCGGAAACUGGCCAGAACGUCGGCGAUUGGAGCUCGAAAGUCGCGGCCAACAUCCUUUUCCGUCGCCGUUGAUUCCGCCGGGUUUGUGACGCGCCACCACUUGGAACUGGUUCUUCACAUCUUCAGCAACAAUUUUCGACCAACCACGAUCACCAGGGAGGCCGGAAAACCGCCGAACGAUCACCGGAAACUUGCGGAUCUUUGGAGCUUCGAUCCGCCGCCGGUAGCGCGCGUGGCGACUCACGGCCACCACCAUUGCACUCACCGAGGUCGGAACUAGCAGACCUAAGCUCCCCGUCAUCGUUGACUGAAGUCCGGUCACCGUUGACCGGCAGGGGCAAUUCGGUAAAUUCAUGAAACUUUGGGGUGAAUUUGUAAUUUUAUGUAAUCAGUGGACAUUUUGGUAAUUUUGAGUGAGAGCAGUGAAGUAAUUUAUGCUUUCGAGGGUAAUUCGGUAAUUUAAGACGUUAAGGACAUUUCGGUAAUUUUAUGCCCUGAGGGUAAUUUCGUAAUUUCGGACAAUGCGAUUAAUUUAUGUAAUCUGAAUUGAGGACAAUCUGGUAAUUGACGAAUAUGAGGAUAAUUUGGUAAAAUAAUGAAGUUUGAGGAUAAGUUGGUAAAAUAUUGGUGUUGGGGGUAUUUUGGUAAUUUUACUCAUGUGGGAAUAGUUUAUCGUUAAUAGGAUUCGAGAUUUAUUAUAUUAAAUUGGUUGUAUUUCUAUUUACAGAGAAUAAUUAUAGUGUUUCCGUGAUUAGGAGGAUCCGCAUCCGCGAACGAGAAUCAACCCGCGGACGUUGUUGAUACCGAGUCUAGACAUCAUCACUGUGAGUGGAAUAUACAAAACCUAUUUUCAUAGUAUAUGCUGAUUUUAUGAUAAGUAUUUAAUGCUUCGAUUAAAUGAUUUUCCGGUAAAUUAAUUUUUAUCUAUGUGUCGGUCUUUAUUGUUAUUGAGAAUGAGUUUGAUUAAUGAUUUUAUUAGCGUUUUUUAGUAAAGGCAUGAUAUUAGAAUUGAGCAGAUUUUGAGAUAUGUUGAAUAGAAAGAAAAUGAGAUUUCAUAUGAGAUUCUAUGUUUAUGUAUAUAUUAUUUUUGAAAUCAUUUGAAAUCAUUAGACAGUACCCUUCCCUCCAGAUACAGAGAAACAGAUAAUAUGAGAUCAGAAAAGAGAUACAGAUAAGAUGAGAUAGAGGCCUUUGGGGCCCGUCGGGACACACAUAGAGGCUUUGGGCCGUGUGUUCGGGCGCUUUUGCCUUUUGGGGGCUUAUGCAUGCACAGUACAGAUAUAUGAGAUAUGAGAUGAGAUCGUCCCCAUCUAUCCGUUGUGGCUCCGAGGCGUGACGUUACCCAGAUAGUACGUCAUUGCCCGUCCGUCGAGGUCCGGAUAUGAUCAGAUUAUUCCCUGGGUACUUGUUUGAUGACAGUUUUUAGUAUUCAGUAUUUGAUAUGAUGAGUAUUAUAUGAUUCCAUCGAUUUUAUGCAAAUAUAUGUAUUAUAGUGUUUCAAUGAACUGAUUUGCAUUAAAUGAGUUUGAGCAAGUUCUUAUGAUAUUUUGAGAAAUUGAUUUAUGAAAUUGAUUUGAGGAAGUGAUUUGAGAAAGAUUAAAUGAUUUUAAAUAAAUUUAUUAAAUUGUCAGCAACUACUAUCCACUCACUGAGCUCACUGAGUUUUAUACUCACCCCUCUUUUAUUCUAUUUCCCCCCCCCACAGGAGAUUUACAGGUACAUCAGUCAACCCAGUAGCGAACGUUAGUGUGAUAUUGUGGCCACGUGAUGGUGCUAGGAGUCGUGGAUUUAAUUAUUAUUAUAUUUGAGAUUUUUUGCAAGCUGUGUUUAUUUAUUAUUUUAUGUUAUUAAGGAUAAUCGAUGUAUUUUGAUAUGAGGAUGAUUUGGAUGAUGUUUGAUAUAUUGAUUUGAGAAUUGGUUAUGGAGGAUGGUUGGAUAUUAAAUUAUUUGGGAGUGUUGCUUUAUAAUUUGCAGGAUUGGAUAUGUUUUAUUUAUAAGGGAGACUCUGCCGAAAUUUUUAUAGAAUAGUUUCGAUUUUACGAGUUUAGAUAGACUCGCCCUGGGGAGUUGCGGGGCGGGUCGUUUCAGUUGGUAUCAGAGCAUGGUUUUAGAUUCUGUAGACUUUACGGUCGUAAAUAGAAUAAGUUUUGAUUAUUAAAGUCGGAUUUAAUGUUUUGUAGGCACCAUUAUGAUUCGUCGUAGCAGUCGACGUGGCCGUGGUCGUGGCCGUACUAGAUUAGUAGCUGGGUUGACUUCAGGAGAUGUACCUGCGGGGGAAAAUGAUCCCGUUGACGAGGGAAUAGUUGAGUCUUCGACGCACGAGGUUGUGCAACAGGCACCAGGAAAUGCUCCGAACAUUGAGCAGUCCAUUGAUAGAUUAGCUUAGAUUGUGACUACAGUGGUUCAGAAUCAGGCUCAGCCGCAUGUCGGUCAAGUGAACACUGUCGAGCGUGUUCGAAGUUUAGGGGCAAAGAGUUUUAAUGGUUCUGGUGAUCCACCUGAGGCAGAGUCGUGGCUUAUCAAGUUAGAACAUAUUUUUGAUGUGAUGAGAUGCUCAGAGGAGGAUAGACUUUCAUUUGCCACUUUUCUGCUCAAGGAUAGGGCUUAUCAUUGGUGGCAAACAGUAGAGCGAAGAUACCAAGGGCAUGCUGCGCUUACAUGGGCUAUAUUUCGUAAGGAAUUCUACGAUCAUUAUUUUCCGGUUGUGUAUCAGGAUAUUAAGCGGAGUGAAUUCCUUCGAUUGGUUCAAGGAGCUAUGUCAGUGGAAGAGUAUGAGAAGAAAUUUUUGGAUCUUUCUAGAUUUGCCAUUUCAGCAGUUGGUGAUGAGAGGGAGAGAUGUAAGCGUUUUGAAGAGGGUCUCCGAUUUGAGAUUCGUACGACUGUGACGGCAUCAUGGUACACUGAGUUCAUUGAGGUAGUUGAGGCAGCUAAGAGAGUAGAGCACAGUAUCUCUGAGGGACGUAGAGUUCAGACUCUGAAGCAGAAACGUAGCCAGAGUUGGACAGAGGGUGGCUCGAGCAGCAGGCCGCCGAAGAGAGGCGCGUAUACAAAUUACUCUGCUGGUGUGCAAAGGAAUCAGAGUAUGAGUAGCAGGGGAGAUCAGAGACAAUCCGCCAGUUACAGUUCGGCGCAGCCUUCAAUGGGGAGUAAUGUUAGGACUCAGGGGCAGUAUGACAGGAAUAGCGGAGGACCCCGUAGGAGUAUACAACAGACUCCUUGCCCUACGUGUGGUAGGAACCAUCAGGGCCAAUGCCGUAUCGGAGACAAUGUGUGUUAUUUAUGUGGACAACCUGGACAUAUUAAGAGAUUCUGCCCUACUUUAUCUCAGGGUGACAGUUCUGCUCGAGGGGCAGCCCCACAGUAUCAAUCUCAUGUUGGACCAGUUCAGGGUCAGAGGGGUAUGCAGACAGGGGGUUCUAUAUCGAGGAGUCAGACCACUUUUCCAAGUCAGAGAGGUCAACCUGGUCGACCUCGUACUCAGGCUCGAGUUUUUGCCUCGACACAGCAGGAGGCUCAUGCUACACCAGAAGUUAUUAUGGGUACAUUAUCUAUCUUUGGUCAUGAUGCUCAUAUUCUUAUUGAUCCUGGAUCCACGCAUUCUUUUGUUUCUCACACAUUUAGUAUGCAUCUAGAGAGAGAGCCUGAAUUGCUGGAUUAUGGUUUAGUUGUUAGUACACCUACCGGAGGGUCAUUACUUGCUGAAAAGGUGUAUCGAGAUAGCAUGAUUCGAUUGGGCGAGCAUGAAUUUAAGGCGAAUUUGAUUAUUCUAGACAUUCAAGAUUUUGAUGCCAUUUUGGGCAUGGAUUGGCUUGUGUCUCACCAUGCUACAGUGGAUUGUUUUAAAAAGGAAGUUGUGUUCAAUAAACCAGGAGAAACUGAGGUGAAAUUUUGUGGUGAGCGUAGAAUUUUACCCUCAUGUGUCAUAUCAGUCAUUGAUGCAAGACGCUUACUAAGGAAAGGUUGCUCAGCUUAUCUGGCAUACGUAAUAGCCACUGGAGUUCGGGAGUUGAGAUUGGAGGAUAUUCCAGUAGUCCAAGAGUUUUCAGAUGUAUUUCCAGAUGAACUUCCGGGGAUGCCACCUCAUAGAGAGAUUGAGUUUUCUAUUGAUUUAGUCCUUGGGACGGCUCCUAUAUCUAUAGCACCGUAUAGGAUGGCUCCAGCUGAACUAAAGGAACUUAAGAUUCAACUGCAAGAAUUGGUGGAUAAAGAGUUUAUUAGACCUAGUGUAUCUCCGUGGGGAGCUCCGGUGUUGUUUGUUAAGAAAAAGGAUGGUACUCUUAGACUCUGCAUUGACUAUAGGCAGUUGAAUAAAGUUACAGUGCGUAAUAAAUAUCCACUUCCACGCAUCGAUGACUUGUUUGAUCAACUUCAGGGAGCAAAGGUGUUUUCUAAGAUCGAUUUGCGCUCGGGAUAUCAUCAGCUUAGAAUUAAAGAGGCCGAUGUUCCUAAAACAGCAUUCAGAACUCGUUAUGGACAUUAUGAGUUUUUAGUGAUGCCAUUUGGGUUGACUAAUGCCCCAGCGGCUUUCAUGGACCUUAUGAAUAGGGUAUUUCGCCAUUAUCUGGAUCGAUUUGUGAUUGUGUUUAUCGACGAUAUUUUGGUGUAUUCUCGAAGUCAGGAGGAACAUGAGGAGCACUUGCGGACUGUUUUGCAGACUUUAAGACAAAAGCAAUUGUACACUAAGUUCAGCAAGUGUGAGUUCUGGUUAGAUAAAGUAGUAUUUCUAGGCCAUGUGAUAUCAGCUGAAGGAAUUUAUGUUGAUCCUCAAAAGAUCGAAGCAGUUGUAAAUUGGGAACGACCUACAAAUGUGACUGAAGUUCGAAGUUUUCUUGGAUUAGCUGGCUAUUAUCGGAGAUUUGUGGAAGGAUUCUCCAAGAUUGCUAUUCCUCUGACAAGGUUAACCAGAAAGAAUGCUAAGUUCCAGUGGAAUGAUGAUUGUGAAAAGGGUUUUCAAGAACUCAAGGCAUGCCUUACUUCAGCACCAGUUCUUACACUUCCAUCGGGUAAUGAAGGGUUUGUAGUAUACAGUGAUGCAUCCAGGCAAGGAUUGGGUUGUGUGCUAAUGCAGUAUGGGAAAGUAGUGGCUUAUGCUUCAAGACAACUUAAGAAGCAUGAACAAAAUUACCCAACUCAUGAUUUAGAGCUAGCAGCAGUGGUGUUUGCACUCAAGAUAUGGAGGCAUUACUUGUAUGGAGCAACAUGUCAGAUUUUUACUGAUCACAAGAGCUUGAAGUAUUUGUUUACUCAGAAGGAGUUGAAUUUGAGACAGAGGAGAUGGAUUGAGCUGAUUAAAGACUAUGAUUGUACCAUUUAUUUUCAUCCGGGCAAAGCGAAUGUGGUAGCUGAUGCGCUAAGCAGGAAGUCUUUUAGCUCUAUAGCUCACUUGCGAGGGACAUACAUGCCGUUAUUGAUUGAGUUGAGAUCUUUGGGAGUUGAAUUGGAAGUUGAUAAUUGCAGAGCUUUAAUAGCUAAUUUUCGAGUGAGGCCGACUUUGAUUGACAAAGUUCAUCAGAUGCAAGAUCAGGAUUUGCAGUUACUGAAGUUGAAAGAGGAUGUGCAAAAAGGCUUACGAACUAAUUUUGCAGUGAGAGAUGAUGGAGUUUUAGUUAUGGAUAAUCGACUUUGCGUACCCGACAUUAAGGAGUUGAAAAAGGAGAUCAUGGAAGAAGCUCAUUGUUCAGCUUAUGCUAUGCAUCCUGGUAGUACGAAGAUGUACCGUACCUUGAGAGAUCAUUACUGGUGGCAAGGUAUGAAGAGAGAGAUAGCUGAAUUUGUAUCUCGGUGUUUAGUUUGUCAGCAGAUUAAAGCUGAACAUCAGAGACCUGCAGGGUUUUCUCAACCGCUUCCUAUCCCUGAGUGGAAAUGGGAGCACAUCACCAUGGAUUUUGUAACAGGACUUCCACGUACUCAGAGUGGUCAUGAUAGUGUAUGGGUAGUUGUUGAUCGACUUACCAAAUCUACUCACUUUUUACCGUUCAAGACCACUUAUUCGAUGGACAAGUUGGGGAAUAUUUUUGUGGCUGAGAUAGUUCGACUUCACGGAGCACCUGUGUCUAUUGUUUCAGAUAGAGAUUCCCGAUUUACUUCUAAGUUCUGGACAAGUUUGCAAAAGGCUUUAGGCACCAAGUUGAACUUCAGUACAGUUUUUCACCCACAGACUGAUGGUCAGUCAGAGCGUACUAUUCAAACCCUGGAGGAUAUGUUACGAGCUUGUAUUUUGGAGUUUAGGGGUAGUUGGGACAUUUAUUUACCCUUGAUGGAGUUUGCUUAUAAUAAUAGUUAUCAAGCUAGUAUCGAGAUGGCACCUUAUGAGGCCUUGUAUGGCAGGAAAUGCAGAACUCCCGUAUGUUGGGAUGAGGUUGGAGAGCGGAAACUUUUUGGUCCCGAAUUGGUUCAAAAUACUAGUGAGAAGAUACAGCUUAUUCGGGAAAGAUUAAAGGCAGCCCAGAGCAGACAAAAGAGCUAUGCAGAUAAGCGUAGGCGGGAACUUGAGUUUGAAGUAGGUGAUAAGGUUUUCAUACGGAUAUCUCCUUGGAAAGGGGUACUUCGAUUUGGUAAGCGCGGGAAGUUGAGUCCACGUUACAUUGGACCAUAUGAGAUUGUGGAGCGUAUUGGUCCGUUGGCAUAUCGAUUAGCUCUACCACCUGAGUUAUCCAGAAUCCACGAUGUCUUUCAUGUUUCGAUGCUCUGGAAGUAUGUGUAUGAUCCUAGUCAUGUGUUGUCGAGACAACCAAUUGAGUUGAAAGAAGACUUGAGUUAUGAAGAAGAGCCCGUGGAAAUUCUAGAACAGAAGCACCAAGUUUUGCGUUCAAGAACCAUUCCGCUAGUAAAAGUGUUGUGGAGGAAUCACACAAGAGAAGAGGCUACUUGGGAACGUGAAGACUUAAUGCGAGCUCAAUACCCUCACUUAUUCUCAACAGAUGUGUAAAUUUCGAGGACGAAAUUUUUAUAAGAGGGGAGGAUUGUAACAUAUGCACUCCGAUUUUCUUAAUUAAGUGAGUGAUUUCAUUUUCCUCUUCGCUAUCAAUUUUUUUUAAUUUCGUCACGACAUUUUAUCGAGAAUAAUUGAGCGCGAUUACACGCGCCGAUGGCCGGAUUUUAUUUUCAUCACGGGUCCGAAUUGAGCUUAAUUUGUAUUAAGCUUAAAAAAAAAAAAAAAGGGCAGAAUUGUAUAACUGGAAAAGGGGGGAAACAGGUUUGUAUUUUUUUGAGAGAGAAUACCCGAGAGAGAGGGAGAGAGAGAGAGAGAGAGAGAGCUGGACUUGUUAACCCGAAAACCCGACCCAAUUCCGCGAUAUUGACCCGACGAGUUCUCCCGUUUCCGGCCACCUUACCGGCCGUGCUUGGUACCGAUCUGAAGCUUGGAAGCUGACCGUCGUAUCCCCGUGGUCCUCGUCGCCGGAAACUGGCCAGAACGUCGGCGAUUGGAGCUCGAAAGUCGCGGCCAAGAUCCUUUUCCGUCGCCGUUGAUUCCGCCG
rnacentral:lncRNA from 1 species